rnacentral:rRNA from 1 species
CCUACGGGAGGCAGCAGUGGGGAAUAUUGGACAAUGGGGGGAACCCUGAUCCAGCCAUGCCGCGUGUGUGAAGAAGGCCCUCGGGUUGUAAAGCACUUUCAGUGAGGAAGAACGCCUGGUGGUGAAUACCCAUCAGGAAAGACAUCACUCACAGAAGAAGCACCGGCUAACUCCGUGCCAGCAGCCGCGGUAAUACGGAGGGUGCGAGCGUUAAUCGGAAUUACUGGGCGUAAAGCGCGCGUAGGUGGCUUGAUAAGCCGGUUGUGAAAGCCCCGGGCUCAACCUGGGAACGGCAUCCGGAACUGUCAAGCUAGAGUGCAGGAGAGGAAGGUAGAAUUCCCGGUGUAGCGGUGAAAUGCGUAGAGAUCGGGAGGAAUACCAGUGGCGAAGGCGGCCUUCUGGACUGACACUGACACUGAGGUGCGAAAGCGUGGGUAGCAAACAGGAUUAGAUACCCGGGUAGUC